rnacentral:rRNA from 1 species
AACGAACGCUGGCGGCAUGCCUAACACAUGCAAGUCGAACGAGACCUUCGGGUCUAGUGGCGCACGGGUGCGUAACGCGUGGGAACCUGCCCUUAGGUUCGGAAUAACUCCCCGAAAGGGGUGCUAAUACCGGAUAAUGUCUUCGGACCAAAGAUUUAUCGCCUUUCGAUGGGCCCGCGUUGGAUUAGCUAGUUGGUAGGGUAAAAGCCUACCAAGGCGACGAUCCAUAGCUGGUCUGAGAGGAUGAUCAGCCACACUGGGACUGAGACACGGCCCAGACUCCUACGGGAAGCAGCAGUGGGGAAUAUUGGACAAUGGGCGAAAGCCUGAUCCAGCAAUGCCGCGUGAGUGAUGAAGGCCUUAGGGUUGUAAAGCUCUUUUACCCGGGAUGAUAAUGACAGUACCGGGAGAAUAAGCUCCGGCUAACUCCGUG